GGAAGUGCCAGCCCCAGAGGGACCCACUGUAGGUUGAGGGGCAUUAGGAUAGGUGCCAGGAGCAGGCCCAGGGGAGGCAGGGAAGGAGGGCAGAGCAGGAGGGGAGCUGCUGUGGGGGUGAGGUGAUCCCGCUGCCUUACCAGGGCCUCCUGAACCCCCCCCCCCCAGAAACAACCCUGCCGACCUGCGGCCUACUCACCCGACCGGAGGAGUGGGUUAGCAACCCACGG